UACGGGGGGGGCAAGCGUUGUUCGGAAUUACUGGGCGUAAAGGGCUCGUAGGCGGCCAACUAAGUCAGACGUGAAAUCCCUCGGCUUAACCGGGGAACUGCGUCUGAUACUGGAUGGCUUGAGUUUGGGAGAGGGAUGCGGAAUUCCAGGUGUAGCGGUGAAAUGCGGUAGAUAUCUGGAGGAACACCGGGUGGCGAAGGCGGCAUCCUGGACCGGC
rnacentral:rRNA from 1 species